GUGAAUGCUGGCGGCGUGGAUAAGUCAUGCAAGUCGAACGGCCCGCAAGGGCAGUGGCAAACGAGGUAGUAACACGUAGGUACUGUCCCCUUUAGUCGGGCACAGCUCGUCGAAAGACGGGGUAAUUCCCCGAUGGUCCCGCAAGGGUAAAGGUUUUUCGCUAGAGGAGCGGCCUGCGUAGUAUCAGCUAGUUGGUAGGGUAACGGCCUACCAAGGCUACGACGCUUAGGGGAGCUGAGAGGCUGACCCCCACCGAUGGAACUGCGACACGGUCCAUACUCCUACGGGAGGCUGCAGACGAGAAUAUUCCGCAAUGGGCGAAAGCCUGACGGAGCGACGCCGCGUGAUGGAUGAAGUGCUUAGGUACGUAACAUCUUUUAUCGGGGAAGAAAUUAUUGACGGUACCCGAUGAUAAGGGGCUCCUAACUCGGUGCCAGCAGGAGCGGUAAUACAGAGGCCCCAAGCAUUACCCGGAAUCAUUGGGCGUUAAAGGGUGUCUAGGCGGCAUAUUAGUCUUUCGUAAAAUCCGCGCUUAACCCGCGGCCUGCGAGGGAAACGGUAUGGCCUAGAAGGGCGUAAGAGGUGCACGGAACUCAUGGUGGAGGGUGAAAUCCGUUGAUUAUCAUGGGAACACCAAAGGCGAAGGCAGUGCACUGGUACGUUCUUGACGCUCAAACACGAAAGCCAGGGUAGCGAACGGGAUUUAGAUACCCCGGUAGUCCUGGCCCUCAACGUUGCUCGCUCGUUUUACGGAGUAUCGACCCUCUGUGAGACUAAGCUAACGCGGUAAGCGAGCCGCCUGGGUAGUACGAUCGCAAGAUUAAAACUCAAAGGAAUAGACGGGGACUCGCACAAGCGGUGGAUUAUGCGGCUUAAUUCUGUCGAUAAACGAAGAACCUUACCCAAGGUUAGAAAUCCAACUGCAUUCUUGUCGAAAGACGAGAAGCCUUCGAGGGUGUUGGACAGGUGAUGCAUGGUCGUCGUCAGUUCGUGGUUUGAACUGUUCCCUUCAGUGGGGUAACGAACGCAACCCCCGUUGCCUGUUGCCUAUAUGGCCAGGCGAGACUGCUCCCUCACGGGAGAGGAAGGUGGGGAUGACGCCAGAUCAGCAUGUCCCUCUGAUACCUUGGGCUGCACGCAUAAUACAAUUGGUCGGUACAAACAGGUUUGCAAUACCGUAAGGUGGAGCCAAUCCUAAUAAAACCGACCCCAGUACGGAAUUGAGGUCUGCAAUCGACCUCAUGAAGCCGGAAUCGCUAGUAAUCCCGGGUCAGCCCAAACCGGGGUGAAUACGUUCUCGAGUCUUGUACUCACCGCCGUCAGUCAAGGGAGCUGGGGGUGCCCGAAGGUCUGCCUCGCGCAGGACUACGGCAAAUUCAGUGACAAGGACU
rnacentral:rRNA from 1 species